UAGGAGGGAGAAGGGAAUCUCCCAUCUCACCUAGUGUAAUGCAACAAAUGUGAAGAAGAAAGGGAACAAAAAUGGAAAAUUGUGCAAGAUGAAAUGGAGAGAUGUGCUGCUGUGCAUCAGGUCCCAACCUUUAAAACUCUUAUAAGGAAGGAUCCUCUUCUCCUUUGUCUUCCCCUUCAAGGAGCAAUGAAUGUGCUUCCAG